UACGUAUGGGGCUAGCGUUGUCCGGAAUCAUUGGGCGUAAAGCGCGUGUAGGCGGUCCGGUAAGUCCGCUGUGAAAGUCGGGGGCUCAACCCUCGAAUGCCGGUGGAUACUGUCGGGCUAGAGUGCGGAAGAGGCGAGUGGAAUUCCUGGUGUAGCGGUGAAAUGCGCAGAUAUCAGGAGGAACACCAAUUGCGAAGGCAGCUCGCUGGGACGUUACUGACGCUGAGACGCGAAAGCGUGGGGAGCAAACAGG
rnacentral:rRNA from 1 species